AAAAACAUGGAGGAUAUUUUAUUCACAUUGCAAUUUCUGUGAAAUUUGUCACCAUAGAGGAUCUUUUCACUUCUUAUGCGGACAGUAGCAUGAAUGCUGAUCAGUCGAGCCAGAAGGCAAUUGAGGAGCUUUUACAGCCUCACAGCAACCUUCACAGUGUUUCAUAAAUAUUAUAUAAUGUCAUGAUGACAGUUUACACCAAGAAUCCAGUAUGUUCAAGACUUCUUUUGGGAAGAAGCAUAUUUUUAAACCUAUCCUGGAAACCUACAUGUCACGUAAGAGGCAACUGAGCUAAUCUAUCCCCAAAGCCAGUAGACAAGGAUCAAUACAGAAACAGAGCAAAUUUGGCAUGGUGCUAUUUACUUGUAAUCUCAGCACUUGAACAGCUGAAGCAGGAGGAUUUUGACCUGGAGACCUGCUGCACUACACAAUGAAGCAUAUGUCCUGACCCUGAGGCACCAACUCCCAUCAAGAAA